UAACCUGGUUGAUCCUGCCAGUAAUAUAUGCUUGUCUCAAAGAUUAAGCCAUGCAAAUGUUAGAUCAUCACAGGUAACCUUUCGGGGUUACUCAUUGUUAAUCUGUAAACGGCUCAUUAUAACAGUUACACUCGUAGCCACUGGUCCGUUGCGCAAGCAAUUAGGAUAACACUGUCAAAUGCUGUGAUAAUACUUUCAUGACGGCCGUAAAGGCAGGUAGUAGUACAUUUCUUACGAAAGUGAGGAGUCCAUGCUAUUAUGACUCUGUUAGGUGGAUUUAUUCAUCUAACAGGGCGUCGACCAUUAGAUGGGUAAAACCAACGUGGGUAGUUUAUCAGGGUUUUAAUAAAGCUCUGCAUUUGCAGCUUAUGCUAAUGGCCAGGAAGACGAGUUUCUUAUCUAUCAGCUAGAUGUCCGGGUAGAGGCCCGACAUGGCAAUAACGGAUACGGGGAAUCAGUGUUCGAUUCCGGAGAGGGAGCCUUAAAAACGGCUACCACAUCUAAGGACGGCAGCAGGCGCGAAAAUUGCCCAAUCUUAAUUCAAGGAGGCAGUGACAAGAAAUAACGGCUACUAAUCUUUUGAUUAGUAGGUACCAUUUAUGGUUUGGAAUGAUUUUAGAUUAAAAUUCUAUUAGAAAUGACUAGAGGAAAAGUCUGGUGCCAGCACCCGCGGUAAUUCCAGCUCUAGAAGCGUAUAUUAAUACUGUUGUAGUUAAAACGUUCGUAGUUGAUCUAAGGGAUUUGGAUAUGUGCACGGUAUUUGACCAAUUAUGGGGCCGGUAUGUUAUAAUACUUGUCACGUAUGCGGUCGAACACCUUCAGUGCCGAACCUUCGGGUAAGGUAUGUGUGCAUGUUCAUUUUCUGCGCUCUGUUAGUUUACUAAUAGAGCAUCGCAACUGUAAAGAAAUCAACGUGCUUCAAGCAGGCUCUGUUGGGCUUCGGCUCUUGUGCUUGUAUGAUUCAGUACGGGAUUGUCUUUCACUGUGGAUAGUUACCUUUCGGGGUGUCUAUUUACAGUAUUUGCAAUGUGAAGCAGGGUGAGGGCUCAAGUACUAUGGUGCUAGAGGUGAAAUUUAGAUACCACCAUAUGACUAUCUGAUGCGAAAGCGGUUAGCCCACCACACUUCAGUCGAUCAGGAGCGAAAGUUAGGGGAUCGAAGAUGAUUAGAUACCGUCGUAGUCCUAACUGUAAACGAUACCAACAAAAGAUUGGUAGCGAAACCUUUUACGAUCCUCUCAGAAUUCAAAGGAAACUUUUAAGUCUUUGGGUUCUGGGGGGAGUAUAGUCGCAAGGCCGAAACUUAAAGGAAUUGACGGAAAGGCACCACCAGGAGUGGAGUUUGCGGCUUAAUUCGACUCAACGCGGGAAAACUUACUAGAACAUGACAGAGGUAUGAUUGACAGAUUAACGAUCUUUCUUGAUUCUCUGGAUGGUGGUGCAUGGCCGUUCUUAGUUCGUGGAGUGAUUUGUCUUGUUAAUUCAGUAAACGAACGAGACCUUAUCUUACUAAAUAGCUUAAUAAUUGGACUUGUCCAAUGGUUUAUAAAAGCAUGCCGUACRGUAUGUUCUAGUAAACUUAACAUGGUGACUUGUCACCGGCUUCUUAGAAGGACAACACAUCGUACUGUAGUGUGGGGAAGUUUAAGGCAAUAACAGGUCUGUGAUGCCCUUAGAUGCUCUAGGCAGCACGCGUACUACACUAUUAAUACUAAUAUGCCAAAAAUUGAACCACUUGUGGUUCAAAACCUUGCCUUAACAGGUUGGGAAAUCAUUUCAAACAUUAAUGUGACAGGGAUAGCUGAUUGGAACUUCGGCUUCAACGAGGAAUUCCUAGUAAUCGCAAUUCAUCAUAUUGCAAUGAUUACGUCCCUGCCUUUUGUACACACCGCCCGUCGCUCCUAUCGAUGGGAUAGAAAGGUGRAUUUGACGGACUGAACCAUUCGGUUUAGAAAAUCAACUGAACCUUUUUAUCUGUAGAAAGGAGAAGUCGUAACAAGGUCUUCGUAGGUGAACCUGCAGAAGGAUC
rnacentral:rRNA from 1 species